rnacentral:rRNA from 1 species
UACGUAGGGUCCGAGCGUUAAUCGGAAUUACUGGGCGUAAAGCGUGCGCAGGCGGUUUUGUAAGCCAGAUGUGAAAUCCCCGGGCUUAACCUGGGAAUGGCAUUUGGGACUGCAAAGCUGGAGUACGGCAGAGGGAGGUGGAAUUCCACGUGUAGCAGUGAAAUGCGUAGAGAUGUGGAGGAACACCGAUGGCGAAGGCAAUCCCCUGGGCCUGCACUGACGCUCAUGCACGAAAGCGUGGGGAGCAAACAGG